rnacentral:rRNA from 1 species
UACGGAGGAUGCAAACGUUGCUCGGAAUCAUUGGGCGUAAAGGGCGCGUAGGCGGCCAUUCAAGUGACGGGUGAAAGCCCUCGGCUUAACCGAGGAACUGCCUGUCAGACUGGAUGGCUUGAGACCGGGAGAGGUGAGUGGAAUUCCCAGUGUAGCGGUGAAAUGCGUAGAUAUUGGGAGGAACACCAGUGGCGAAGGCGGCUCACUGGACCGGAACUGACGCUGAGGCGCGAAAGCGUGGGGAGCAAACAGG